UAUGUAGUAGUGAAAUCUGACAUGUUACUCUUGGAUGGUUGUUACCGUACAACCUCUGUUUCAAAGGAAAAUACCUUGUUCUCAGUAAUGGCAAGAAGAGGUCGCUAAAGCAAAAGUUAGGGAAAAACAACAUGAGACAUCAUCCUGAUAUAUGAGCCAGUAGUGCAUUAACCUAUUUGAGAUUGAGAAGCAUCACAUACCGAAACCUCAGUUCAUAGUAGAUGCACUUCAGUUGU
rnacentral:lncRNA from 1 species